GAAAUCACUGAAACGUCAGAACUGAAAUCUUUGGAGGACAUGCUAAGGAACUGGCUCCUGAACUUCAGUUAUUUGCUAAAAGCUCAUUAUAUUUGUCAUAAUUCCACACCCCAUGUGUCACAUUACAUUCAUAUGUUUGGCUUUAACUUCACUUCCCAAUAAUCUUGAACAUUUUUAUUUUAAUUGGCCGUAGGUAAUCAUGUACAUGACUUGACAGAUGAAAUAUUCAAAUUAUAUAUUGCAAUAUGUAUGUACUUAUAUACAUACAGAAAUAUGUUACAGAAAGAGGGACAAGGACAGAGAGAGAGAGAGAUUAAAAUGUCUGGAACACGCAAGUUCUGCAGAGUUGAAGCUCUGCUGGAAGUCCAUCUGACAGGGGAAUACUCUUUUACCUGAGGGAGCGUCAGCCUUGUUCUCUUCAGGCCAUCAGUGGAUUGGAUGAGAACUUCCCACAUUAUAGCGGGCAACCACCUUAACUCAGGCAACUGAUUUCAAUAAUACUCUCAUCCAAAAUCAUCCUUACAGAAACCCACAGAAUAACGUUUGACCAGAAAACUGGGGACCUGUGCCAGUGAAUCUGACCCACAAAUUAACCAUCAAACCUUUCUUCCAGCACAUUGACAAAUUAUAUGAAGAAAGUAGAGCAGGAAAUAGGUUUAUUUGACAUAAGCUCCACCGUGAGCAAAAUGGAAAAGGCAAAGAAACACGUUCAAAAUAUAACACAAUUAUGAUUAAUGAUUAAGAAGUUGUAUAUGAAUGGCAAUGAACUUCAGUGACUGCAUUUUUGAUAAAGUGAUUUCAACUUUCUCUUGAAUUUAUCCCUAGAUUUGAUGUGAAACAACAUGUGUUUAAAUAAUUCGUAAGUAUUAAACACACGCAAAAUUAGCUGUGUGAAUGGAACUGCAUAAUAGAUUGGGUUUCCCAAUAAUUUCAAAGCGACGGGAAGCCAGAAAAUUUGAACAAUCCUCCGAGAUUUCUUCAAAAAUGGAAGACAUCCAAAGAGAGUCCCUGCCAAGCCAGUUAUGGAUGGAUUUGCAUUUGGGUUGGGAAAUGAUUGGACCAGGUCAGUUCUGGUAGCUCUGCUUCCCCCUGGGUGGGGCAGCAAGCCCCAAUAAAAAGGUCCUCUGCUGCACGACGGCUAUCCUCCUGCUCCUCGACUUCCGAUUGACUUUGGAGAAUCUGGUGAGUCUGAUUCUUCGGUUCAACUUUGUUCUCAGAUCCCCGAAUGUUGAGUUUAUGCUGGAGACAGCAAGUUUGGUGGGUCCAAAGUUAUGAUCGCGGUUAUAAUGCUACUUAGUGGGUGGGAACUUGGAAUCUGGGCACAAUGUUAUAUUGUAUUUACUAGAUUUCUGAUACCUAGUUUGAAUUCCUCUAUUGAAAAAGAAAUUAACAGGAAAUUUUGACAUGAAGGGAUAAAGAGAAAAGUAUUUACCUUUUUCUAUGCCUUUCUCUUGGACCUC